rnacentral:lncRNA from 1 species
UUAGAUACAACGGGCUACAUUGUAUUCUUUUUGCUGAGUAUAUAUUUCUAACUUCUAUAAACUCAAAUCCUAGAGCAUUUAAUGUGCAAACGAGGAAAGCCAAUAUAUGCACUUUCAUUAAUAACCAUACGUAUUAUAAAUAAGACUAAUGAAUCGGAAUCAUUGAUGUCUGCUGAGGCAUAAGAUUUUAAGACAAGUGCAGCCUCUGUUCUUUUUCUUGGAUCCAACCAGUGUAAGUUUUUUUUUGCUUUCUUUUGCUUGGAGAGUGUACUUUUCGUCGUUUAAUAAUAUAGGAUUUGAAACUUUUAGUCUGUAGACCGUGGUUUACCUGUUGGUUGCUCUGUGAGUCAGUCCACAACAAACUCUGCUCAGUUUCAUCUCUUCUUCUUACAUUUUUUCAGUCUCCAACUAUGAAGCUAAUGAAACACCACCCAAAACAAGAGAUUACCAUUUCAUCAAGAAACUAAAUCAAAACGUAGAUGGAACCUUCUUAGAGAAACAUAGAGAAAAUCAAGACAAGAGAUUUACUGAUGUAACAAGAUCUUUAUAUUUUUCUUCUUCUUCAUCAUAUAUUGCUGGAUGUGGAAAUGUGAAAAUCAAAGAAUGAAGCAGUUUCAUAUAUAUAUAUAUAUAUAUAUAACCAGACCUACUGUACUAAACAAAAUCAGAAACUGUGACCAUAUGUUUCUAUAUAGAGGUUUGGGUUGAGCUUGAAUGUGAAACUUCAGGGACUGACAACAAG